rnacentral:rRNA from 1 species
AUGAAUUGCAUGAGCUGGAACUGUCGAGGGCUUGGGAACCCAUCGACAGUCUGAGAGCUUCGCAAGAUUGUGAAGAAGGAAGGUCCCUCACUUCUAUUUCUCAUGGAAACUAAGAUUAAGGGAAAAAGAGUUGAGAGUUUGAAGAAUUUACUUGGUUUUGCCAGAUGCUUUGCUGUUGAUAGCAGCGGCUUAAGUGGUGGAAUUGGCUUGUUUUGGACAGAUAAUAUUGAUAUAGAACUAAGAAACUACAGCCAAGCACAUAUUGACACUACAAAAAAAUACACUUCCGUGAUGAUACAUGUUUGUCACAGUAGGUCACGUUUUCUGUCGUGCAUGUACAUCCAUGACAAUUUUAUGACAGAAUCAAGAUAG